UACUGUGAAAUCCUGGUAGGAGUUCUGAGCAAUUCUGGGACUCCUGAGAUCCAGACCCUACAGGUUUUUGUGACACUCUCGGAGAUAAGUGUUUGCUUUCUGCCGAUUACUGCCUCCAGGGGCACUAUGCAGCUGGUGGCCACAGGAAGUCCCCACUCCUGGCUACUGCCAGUGGCAGAGUUCCCACCUCUAUAAACGUACUGAGCACCCCACUGGCCAACUCCAAGCAGAUAACAAGAAGGGUCUGAGGAAAACUGAGCAACAGAGGCUGCCAAGUUUGUCUAUACAACAUUGGAUGUCUGUUUUAUGCAUGAUUUACCUGGCUGUAUGGAGCUCCUGCUCCCUCGCCAGUGCUGCCAACUCCCAGGUUGGACAGUGGCAGAGCUUCACAUCUAUUCAGCCCAUUACCGCCCCAAGCCAAAGAUUACAAGUAAACAAAGGAAGCAAAACACAGAAAUAUGUUCUUUGAGCCAGACACUGGGACAGCACAUACACUUGUCAUCCCUCCAUGAAGCAUUGGCUAUUAAAGAUGUAAUAUUUCCACUAUAUCUCAAUUGCAGUGUAACAAGACCAGCUCUGAGUGAGUGCAUGCAGCCAACCUUCUGCAAAGGUUUUCAAUAUACUUCAAAAUAUCCUAUUAUUUACCCAUUGUGGGAAAGUGUUCUUUAGUUGGUAGUACAAAGCAAUCACAGUGGUUUUGGAGACUUUAAAGAUUUCCUAAGGAGGCAUCAGUGUCUGUAAGAUGCCCUUGGGGCUUCUGUUUUGCACUGUGAUUGUGCAGUGUUUUAUUUCCAUUAUAAGAUGCAUACAAAGGGAAAGGAAGGAAGCAAUCUUCUACAGCUGGAAACCAAAUUACAGGACUCUCUUAUAAUAAGGAGAGAUUUUCCCCAAAGUGGCACAGUGGGACAUUAAGUCUUUCAUUUUGAUCUUACCUAAAUGAACAAGAAAAAAUUCCAUUGAAUUCUGUGGCAUGCGAUCAAACUCCAAAUGAGCUACUUAAAAUGUUACAUAGGUGAGCUAUGAGUGUGGUUUUCUACAUGUUCGUUAAGAGUCUUUUUAAUAUUAUUUACAAUAUGAGGUGUUAUCUAGUUCUGCGAUUAUAGCUGGGUGGUGAUAAGCCAGUGGUAAUCUCUGUAAUUCUGCUGAUACACUUACUCAGAUAAGCUUUAUAUUAACAAGGUUUCACAAAUAAAGUUUUGUUAUCUUUAUUGUU